GGAUAGAGAAAGAUUUGGAGGCUUAUAAACAAUGGAGCUCAGGACAGGCCCCAAUGAGGACUAUUCCACAAUGGUCCACAUUUGCAGGG